rnacentral:rRNA from 1 species
AACAUGUCACGUCCAGAAGGAAGCAUAGCCAGGGGCUUUCUGACCGAAGAGUGCAUCUCCUACUGCACGAAUUAUCUAGGCAUCGAGAACCCCGUUGGUCUGCCCGUCAACAGGCACCUCGGCAGGCUCGCUGGAUGGGGUCACCGUGAGGGUCGCCGCGAAAUGCAUGUCGACUUCGAGGGUCGACUCGCCGACUUUGAAAGAGCAAACCUAGUCGCGCUACAACACAUAGACGUGGUCGAUCCUUGGUUGGUAGAGCACAAAACCUUUAUUAAAAAGACGUACAAUGACCGAGGCCAACAGAGGGCGGACGGAGAUAUACUCAAAGAGCACAACUCAUGUUUCACGCGUUGGUUCAAGCAUAAGCUUCUGUCAUACCCUUUACAUGAGGAUUCUUCCGCGGAAGAACAACUCAUAUUCGCCUUGUCACAGGGCGCCGAGCACAACCUGAUGACCUAUGAGGCGUACGAUAUCAACGGCUACACAUUCUACACCGAGGCCAAGGACAUGAAGAGCGAUGGUUAUCAGAACUCCGGGGUAACGAUGGAAUCCUACACCGGUAACGACAAGGACAGAUACUACGGAAGGAUCGAGGAGAUCUGGGAGCUGAGCUACGCUGGAGAGAAGGUCCCGAUGUUCCGUGUCAGAUGGGCCAAGAACGUCAUAAAAGAAGACCGGUAUUUCACC